CCAUCUCUCCCUAUAGACAAUCUCGAUUCCUCCUUUUCCUUCCCUCCCAUGGCUUCUUCUUCCACAGACAAAUCUCUUCCCAUGAAUGCUCUUUUGCAUAUGUUAACCAUCAAGUUGUCUUCCUCAAAUUACCUUUUUAUGGUGAAAACAAAUCAAGCCCCUCCUUCAUCAUCAAGAUUGGUUUCGAUUUGUUGAUGGUUCCUUUCCAGCACCAUCGAAAACCAUCACUCAAGAAGACAAAUCUGUCACUAAUCCUGAGUACACAUCAUGGCUUGAAACUGACCAGAGAGUUAUGCUUUUCAUCCAGUCUUCUCUGAGUGAGGGGGCCAUGGCUGAAGUUUUAGGUUAUUCAUCUUCUCAUGAUGUCUGACACGCUCUAGAAUCUGCUUACAGUCAAGAUUCUUUGGAAAGAUCUCAAAACCUCAGAGACUCCUUUUGCCAACUAAAAAAGGGUCCCUUUCUGUUGCCGAAUAUGGGCGCAAGUUUAAGUCCAUUUGUGACAAUCUUGCUGCCAUUAGACAGUCUGUAUCAGAAACCGAGUUAAGUCACUAGUUCCUUUGCGGUUUAAGGUCUGUGUUUGAGACUUUUUCAACUGCACAGAGGGCUAUUUACCCUCUCCCUUCUUUCCGUACUCUUCUUGCACGUGCCGAAGGACAUGAAAUAUUUGUCACCUCACUUCGUGGACCAGAACCUGCUCCCGUAGCUUUCACCACGUAUGACACUUCGUCUCGAUCUUCUUAUCUGGGCCGAGGACGUUCUAGCAGAGAUUGUAACAUAACCGACUCCACACCAGAUUGGUGUGCUGACUCCGGUGCUACCGCUCACGUGGCACCGUAACCAACUCAUGUUGACUCUUCGACUUCUUAUCAUGGUGAUGACAAAGUGGCGUUUGGAAAUGGAUUUGGUCACAAAGACCAUUCUGGCAAAAGGAACCCAAAAGGAUGAACUCUACGUCUUGAAAGCAAAAUCAUAGUUUUUUGACGUGCUCAAAAAUUAUAUGACCUUCGCUCAAACACAAUUCUCAUGCAAAAUUAAAGUAUUUCAAAGCGACGGGGGAACCGAAUUCUUAAAUCAUAGAGUUCGAAAUUUAUUUCUUCAUAAUGGUAUUCAUCAUCGGAUGUCUUGCCCCUAUACAUCUCAACAAAACAGUAGAGCCGAACGCAAACAUCGCCACCUUACCAAAACCAGACUAGCCAUGCUUUUUGGUGCUAACGCCCGCUAGUUUUUGGGUUGAUGCGUUCUCUUCCGCUGCACAUAUCAUAAAUCGUCUACCUACAAAGUUAUUAAAUCACAAAUCUCCAUUUAAAGUGUUGUUUCAUGCGGUGCCAAAUUACACAAACUUCAAAGUUUUCGGGUGUCGAGAUGUGGCACCUGGGGAAAAUCCACAGUUAUCCUGAUUUAACACCAUGCCACUUUGGAUUGCUUAUCAAAUUUCGGGACGAAAUUUCUUUCAAGUUGGGGAUGAUGUGACAACCCGAGAUUCCAAGGUCUUUGUCCUACGAAUCACUUGCUUCGCAACCCUGUUUUGACAAUUUGUUUUAUGUUAUGUCAUGUAUUUAUUUUAUGUGAUCUCAUGUGUAGUUGUUUAGGUGAUUAAAGUUGUUUAAGUGAUCAAUGUAUUCUGAUGAUUCAAUAUGUGAUGAUUAAUA